UACGAGGGGUGCAAGCGUUGCUCGGAAUUAUUGGGCGUAAAGGGUAGGUAGGUGGUCUCAUUUGUCUGGGGUGAAAGCCUUGAGCUUAACUCAAGAGGUGCCCUAGAAACGGUGAGACUGGAGUCCUGGAGAGGGUCGUGGAAUUCCCGGUGUAGCGGUGAAAUGCGUAGAGAUCGGGAGGAACACCAGCGGCGAAGGCGGCGACCUGGACAGGUACUGACACUCAACUACGAAAGCGUGGGGAGCAAACAGG
rnacentral:rRNA from 1 species